AUGGAAAGAUCAAGCCAAGCCAUAUUAGCUACGGCCCUCAACUUUGUUCGAGCAACAACACCUAAGUUUGUCCUGUCAAGAACUAACAGAUGGGUGAGGCCAUUGAAUGGCCAACUGGUCCUAAAUACAGAUGCUUCUUUUUUGGAGGAUCAUACAGGUUCUUGCGGUGCUGUGAUAAGAGACCACUUUGGUUUUUUCGUUGCGACAUCCACAGAAAAACUAGAUCAUGUGGGCGAUGUUGAAUCGGCUGAGGCGGCUGCGCUCUUGGAGGGACUAAAGCUUACCCGCUCUAUUGGGGCACAUACCCUCGUUGCUCGGGCGGAUAAUAUGUCAGUGGUGGAGGCGAUGGCAAAUAAUUAUGAACAGUUGAUGGUGGCAGGACCCAUACUUGAUGAAUGUCAUUUUCUGCGUUUAGAGUUUGGGGAGGUCUUUUUUCAGCAUUGUAACAGAGAAUCCAAUAGGGUUGCUCAUAGGCUAGCUCAACAAGGACGGGAUGAUCCACCAGCUUCGUGGUUGGACGCCCCCUAG
rnacentral:rRNA from 1 species